rnacentral:misc_RNA from 1 species
GAAAUGCGAUAAGUAAUGUGAAUUGCAGAAUUCAGUGAAUCAUCGAAUCUUUGAACGCACAUUGCGCCCCCUGGUAUUUCGGGGGGCAUGCCUGUUCGAGCGUCAUUUCACCACUCAAGCCUCGCUUGGUAUUGGGCGACGCGGUCCGCCGCGCGCCUCAAAUCGACCGGCUGGGUCUUCCGUCCCCUCAGCGUUGUGGAAACUAUUCGCUAAAGGGUGCCGCGGGAGGUCACGCCGCAAAACAACCCCAUUUCUAAGGUUGACCUCGGAUCAGGUAGGGAUACCCGCUGAACUUAAGC